rnacentral:rRNA from 1 species
CACGUAGGGCGCAAGCGUUGUCCGGAAUUAUUGGGCGUAAAGAGCGUGUAGGCGGCCAAGCAGGUCCGUUGUGAAAACUGGAGGCUUAACCUCCAGACGUCGACGGAAACCGCGCGGCUAGAGUCCGGAAGAGGAGAGUGGAAUUCCUGGUGUAGCGGUGAAAUGCGCAGAUAUCAGGAAGAACACCAAUGGCGAAGGCAGCUCUCUGGGACGGUACUGACGCUGAGACGCGAAAGCGUGGGGAGCGAACAGG